UGUGUCAUCACUUCUUCAUCCCUCUUCACCCCCAAUUUUCAUCUCUAAACCCUCACCCCACCCCACCCCACCCCACCCUACAGUCACCGUUCCACCAUCACGCCACCGCCAUAUCCGGCCACCGAACACAUCUCCACACUCCUUUAACCCUUUCCCCCACAACUAAGCCAAAAACCCCCAUUUCCCAACAGAGACCGUCAUCAUCUCCGAUCGGCUCGCACCACCAUUGAUAAACGGCGGAUACUGGUCACUAUUCCGACGUAACACGGCGGCACGCGACGGUGCUAUCGGCGGUAACCCUAGGAGGUCGACAGCUGCCCCUAGCAUCGGUGACUUGGGUUUGAUUUUGGUGUCGAACAACCAACAUCGGUGGCGUCGGCGAUGGCGGAUGUGGGGGGAGAGGAUCGGCAGAAACGAUCAGCAGCGGUGGAACCCUACAAAGACCUAUCGAGAAAGAAAGGAAAAGGAGACAGCACAAAUCGAGAACCAAAGGAAAUGAAUGGUAGAUUUGAAAAAUUAAAGAGAAGGGGAAUGAGGGAGAAACCGUUUUAGAGGGAGGGAGAGAGAGAAGCAGAGAAGAAGAAGAAGGCCGACCAUGGUCUCCGACCGGCCGGCCAUCCUGUUCUGGUUAUGGUAGUUGUGGUGGUGGUUACUGGUGACAUUGAGGGCUUCAUUGGGCGCCAUCGGUGGUUGUGAUUGGCGAUGUUAUUAAUUAAUGGUGUUGAUGGCCGUGGUUCCGAACAAGGGAUGUGGUGGUUGUCGACGGUGAGCAGCGUCAGUGGUGGAUGUAGUCAGAGACGGUGACGAUGGUUAGGGUUUAACAUUGUCGCUUGCGAGUGUAGCAGAAAAGAACGGCGGCUACGAUCUGUUUAUGAGUUCCGAAAAUGGUGGUUACAAUGGUCACACUUUUCGUCUGAGAUGAUUAGAACAGAUGGCGUCAACGUUAAGAUGGUUCGGGUGUGGAAGAUCUGGUUACUUCUGUCGGCCGUAACAAUCGGCGCUACGGUUACUUCUGUCGUUUUCAUCUUAGAUAAGAAGCAGUAUACUUCCAAGAUUUGGGGAGCUUCCACACAAUGAGCUGUUGUGGGUGACACAGUCUCUUGGGUAUGUUUUUCAUGAGUCAGUCAUUCACCAUAAGAGGGAUGUUGACUGCAAACAUAAUUAUUUCAGGGGGUUAUGACUACAUGUAUUUGGUGAGAAUGAUGAAUAUGAAACGGUGACAUGUAUGCUGGCGCCUGCUUUGUAGACAAAAUGCAUGGUGUUGGUAUAUACAACUUUGCAAAUGGACGUUGGUAUGGUGCAUAGAACUUUAUAUAUAGAUGGUGUUGGUGGAUCAAUGAUAACGAGUAGGACCGUGUCGGCGUCGCUAUGAUUCCGGUCUAUAAUAGCAUAUAAUGGAUCUGCAAAGACGUUUAGUUUGACUGAUAUUGAGAAAGCAACCGACAAUUUCAAUGAAUCAGGAGUUCUAGGUGAAGGUGGACUUGGGCAUGUUUAUAGUGGCAUUCUUGUAGACGGAACAAAAAUGGCGGUUAAAGUACCUAAAUGUGACGAUCAAGAAGGCGGUCGAGAGUUCUUGGCUGAAGUUGAGAUGCUCAACCGGUUGCCCAUAAAAACUUGGUUCGGUUGAUUGGGAUAUGCACAGACGAAAGAACCCGGUAUUUGGUUUAUCAGUUUAUGACAAAUGGGAGUGUUGAAUCCCAUCUUCACAAUAAUUUUAUGCAACAUGUUUUGCAAAUUCGGGUUUAGGGAAUGUUUGGGAUAAGGAAACCCCACCAUUGGAUUGGGAGGCUCGCUUGAAGAUAGCAUUAGGUGUAGCCCGUGGGGCGUGGGCUACCUUACCUUACCAUCAAAGUAUAUUCAACGAUUCGGUUUAACGUGCGCCUAGCGCGCCGCAACGCGCGCUUGGUAUAAACCUAGUUAUAUGAAUUUACCAAGUUAUUCAAUAUCCUAUUGUUUAACCAAA